UAUGUGAUCGUCUCUCGCAUAUCAAUAAGCGGAGGAAAAGAAACUAACAAGGAUUCCCCUAGUAACGGCGAGUGAAGCGGGAAGAGCUCAAAUUCGAAAUCUUAAAGGGUUUCCCUUUACGAAUUGUAGUUUAAAGAAGUGUUUUCUGUUGAGGUUUUGGUAAAAGUUCUUUGGAAUAGGACAUCAUAGAGGGUGAGAAUCCCGUAUUUGACCUUUACUUUCAACUUUGUGAUACACUUUCAAAGAGUCGGAUUGUUUGGGAAUGCAGUCCGAAAUGGGUGGUAAAUUUCAUCUAAAGCUAAAUAUUGGCGAGAGACCGAUAGCGAACAAGUACCGUGAGGGAAAGAUGAAAAGAACUUUGAAAAGAGAGUUAAACAGUACGUGAAAUUGUCAAAAGGGAAGCGUUUGACACCAGUGUUGUUUUUCUGAAAAUCAAUUAAAGAACUGUUUAUGCUAAGUUGUUUAGACUUUAUCAGCUAACUGUUUAGUUUUGAGCUUUUCUUUAAUGCACUUUUCAGUUAACAAGUCAACAUCAAUUUCUUUUGCUGUAAAAAAGCUUGAGGAAGGUGGCUUGAGAUUCGUCUUAAGUGUUUAUAGCCUCUUGCCUAUGCAGUCGGAGAGAUUGAGGUCUGCAGCGUAGAUCCUUUGGGGCUAAAUGCAUUUGUGCUAAGUUAUAGCAUUUUAUAGACAACUUGUUGACUAUGAUUUGUCUUGUAGCUUACUCGCUUAUGUUAUUUUACCUACGCUUAGGAUGUUGAUAUGCAUGACUGAUAU
rnacentral:rRNA from 1 species